CCUACGGGCGGCUGCAGUGGGGAAUAUUGCACAAUGGGCGAAAGCCUGAUGCAGCAACGCCGCGUGAGUGAUGAAGGCCUUCGGGUUGUAAAACUCUGUCUUCUGGGACGAUAAUGACGGUACCAGAGGCGGAAGCCACGGCUAACUACGUGCCAGCAGCCGCGGUAAUACGUAGGUGGCAAGCGUUGUCCGGAUUUACUGGGCGGAAAGAAUGCGUAGGCGGAUAUUUAAGUCAGAUGUGAAAUCCCCGGGCUUAACUCGGGAGCUGCAUUUGAAACUGGAUAUCUAGAGUGCGGGAGAGGUAAGUGGAAUUCCUAGUGUAGCGGUGAAAUGCGUAGAGAUUAGGAAGAACACCAGUGGCGAAGGCGACUUACUGGACCGUAACUGACGCUGAGGCAUGAAAGCGUGGGGAGCAAACAGGAUUAGAUACCCGAGUAGUC
rnacentral:rRNA from 1 species